UCCAGUCAUUUCCAGCCUGGUUUUAGCUGGACAGGCUGGAAGAUGACCAGCUAAAACCAGCUUGACUAGGACUGGGAGCCAGCUAUGUCCAACUUAAAGCAGGAUGAUCAAGCUGGUUUUAGAUGGGUUUAGCUGGUCAUUUUCCAGCUAAGACAAGUAUGCCUAUAAUAUAGUUAAUACUACAGUAUGCUGUAGCAUUCAUUAACACAUUGUUGUUAAUAUAUUAGCUACUACAGUGUAGUUUAAAAACACUAUAACAUAAGUAUUUUUCCAUGUGGGUUAUUUCCGUCUGUGUACUAAAUUGCUAACUGCCGUCUUUCUACUAACAUGAAAUAUAUUUACCAAAAUCCUUUUCAUACUAUAUUUAACCUGCCUUAAUAAUAUUACUAUCCGUCAUGCCUUCUCAGUGAAGAUUAUGUGUUUACAUGAUAUGUAAUGUGAUGAAUAAACAUUGUUUAUUGAGCUUUAAACUCCUUGACGCUGACCUGUGUGUGUUUCUUCAGCUCUAGUUUAAAUACAGGUGUGUUGUGGUCUAGUUUUACUCACUCUUCUCCAUUUGCCUUGUUUAUAUGGUUCUCUCAUUGUUUCAGGUGAGUGUUAAACCGGCCUGUGUUUGAGCAGGUAACAGAUAUUCAGCUCUUUUCACUCUCGGUGAAAGCAAACAGAUGGACUCAAGCCUUUAUUACAGCCUGACCUGACCCCGGCGAUUCAUCAACAAAGAGCAGGUGCAGCAGCUGCUCAAUAUCUCUCACCUGCACUGCAGCCUCAGCCAAUCAGCAGCAGAUCACACUGUCAAAGCAGCCCUCAGCUGACUUUACUCAAAAAAUGUGUGAUUGAGUGUCCGGGCGCUCACCUCUUCAUGAUGUUGAGGAUGCUGAUGGGCAGGUAGCAGAGGGCGAACACAAACAGCACC